UACGGAGGGGGCAAGCGUUGUUCGGAAUUACUGGGCGUAAAGGGCUCGUAGGCGGCCAACUAAGUGGGACGUGAAAUCCCUCGGCUUAACCGGGGAACUGCGUCCGAUACUGGAUGGCUUGAGUUUGGGAGAGGGAUGCGGAAUUCCAGGUGUAGCGGUGAAAUGCGUAGAUAUCUGGAGGAACACCGGUGGCGAAGGCGGCAUCCUGGACCAACACUGACGCUGAGGAGCGAAAGCCAGGGGAGCAAACGGG
rnacentral:rRNA from 1 species